UGUCCCCAGCCAGAUGCCUUGAUUUCCUCCCUACGUCAGGCCAGCCCCCAAGGAAUCACAGGGCAACCCGAUGGGGCUAAUUUCUCAGUUGCUUUAUUGAGUAGCGAGAUGUGGCUUCACCUCCCACAGGACAUGUGUCCUCAAGCUGGUACAAGAAGUGCCUGGGGACAGAGUGACAGACAGGCUCUUCUCCAGGAAGCUCAAGUGGCUUUCCACCUCCCCCGAAUUGGGACCCAGCUGCUGUCUGAACUGUUCCAGCUGCUGCACCAGAGCCUUGUUGAACAUCUCUCCCAUGGGCUCCACAGUGCGUCGGAACUCCUCCACCUGCUGCUCCAGCUGCCUGUUCAGGUCUUCCAGAGACUUCUGCAGCCCUUCCGUGUUGCCCUUCACCUUGCUCUGCACGUCUUCCACCAGCGGGGCCAGAUUCUUCUGCAGCUGGUCGAUUUUUGCGGAGACCUUGGUCUGGAGCUCCUCCGCGUUCUUCUUCAUCUGGAAGGCCAGGCCCUCCAUCUGAUGGUUGAGUUUCUCCUGCACGCCCACCGUCAGAGGGGCCAGGCUGCGGCGCAGAUCCUCCAGGUUCUGGUCGAUCGUGGCCUUCAGCUCGUUGGCACGGGGGGUUAGGUGCCCCUUGAGCUCUUCCAUAUUCCUGUUAAACUUGUCCUUUAAGUUGGUGGCAAGGGGCAUCAUCGAGGUGUGCAGGUUGU
rnacentral:lncRNA from 1 species